ACGAACGCUGGCGGCGCGCCUAACACAUGCAAGUCGAACGAGAGAGAGGGAGCUUGCUUCCUCGAUCGAGUGGCGAACGGGUGAGUAACGCGUGAGGAACCUGCCUCAAAGAGGGGGACAACAGUUGGAAACGACUGCUAAUACCGCAUAAGCCCACGACCCGGCAUCGGGAAGAGGGAAAAGGAGCAAUCCGCUUUGAGAUGGCCUCGCGUCCGAUUAGCUAGUUGGUGAGGUAACGGCCCACCAAGGCGACGAUCGGUAGCCGGACUGAGAGGUUGAACGGCCACAUUGGGACUGAGACACGGCCCAGACUCCUACGGGAGGCAGCAGUGGGGAAUAUUGCACAAUGGGGGAAACCCUGAUGCAGCGACGCCGCGUGGAGGAAGAAGGUCUUCGGAUUGUAAACUCCUGUUGUUGAGGAAGAUAAUGACGGUACUCAACAAGGAAGUGACGGCUAACUACGUGCCAGCAGCCGCGGUAAAACGUAGGUCACAAGCGUUGUCCGGAAUUACUGGGUGUAAAGGGAGCGCAGGCGGGCGAUCAAGUUGGAAGUGAAAUCCAUGGGCUCAACCCAUGAACUGCUUUCAAAACUGGUCGUCUUGAGUAGUGCAGAGGUAGGCGGAAUUCCCGGUGUAGCGGUGGAAUGCGUAGAUAUCGGGAGGAACACCAGUGGCGAAGGCGGCCUACUGGGCACCAACUGACGCUGAGGCUCGAAAGUGUGGGUAGCAAACAGGAUUAGAUACCCUGGUAGUCCACACCGUAAACGAUGAUUACUAGGUGUUGGGAGAUUGACCCUCUCAGUGCCGCAGUUAACACAAUAAGUAAUCCACCUGGGGAGUACGACCGCAAGGUUGAAACUCAAAGGAAUUGACGGGGGCCCGCACAAGCAGUGGAGUAUGUGGUUUAAUUCGACGCAACGCGAAGAACCUUACCAGGGCUUGACAUAUACAGGAAUAUGCUAGAGAUAGUAUAGCUCUUCGGAGUCUGUAUACAGGUGGUGCAUGGUUGUCGUCAGCUCGUGUCGUGAGAUGUUGGGUUAAGUCCCGCAACGAGCGCAACCCUUACUGUCAGUUACUACGCAAGAGGACUCUGGCAGGACUGCCGUUGACAAAACGGAGGAAGGUGGGGAUGACGUCAAAUCAUCAUGCCCUUUAUGACUUGGGCUACACACGUACUACAAUGGCGUUAAACAAAGAGAAGCAAGACCGCGAGGUGGAGCAAAACUCAGAAACAACGUCCCAGUUCGGACUGCAGGCUGCAACUCGCCUGCACGAAGUCGGAAUUGCUAGUAAUCGUGGAUCAGCAUGCCACGGUGAAUACGUUCCCGGGCCUUGUACACACCGCCCGUCACACCAUGAGAGUUGGGGAUACCCGAAGCCUGUGAGCCAACAGUUAAAUGAGGCAGCAGUCGAAGGUAGAAUCAAUGAUUGGGGUG
rnacentral:rRNA from 1 species